AAUCAACGCUGGCGGCGUGCCUAACACAUGCAAGUCGAACGAGAAAACGGGGGCAACUCCGUGAGUAGAGUGGCAGACGGGUGAGUAACACGUGAACAACCUACCCUCAAGUGUGGAAUAACACCGCGAAAGCGGUGCUAAUACCGCAUAAUAUCCCAGGGACGCAUGUUCCGGGGAUCAAGGGCGAAAGUCGCUGGAGGAGGGGUUCGCGCCUGAUUAGCUAGUUGGUGAGGUAACGGCCCACCAAGGCAACGAUCAGUAGCCGGCCUGAGAGGGCGUACGGCCACACUGGAACUGAGACACGGUCCAGACUCCUACGGGAGGCUG
rnacentral:rRNA from 1 species